GACAGAGGUGCCGAGCGUUAGGCGGAAUCACUGGGCUUAAAGCGUGUGUAGGCGGGCCGUUAAGUGUCUUGUGAAAUCCCCCGGCUCAACCGGGGAAUUGCUGGGCAUACUGGCGGUCUUGAGCGAUCUAGGGGCAGAUGGAACAAGUGGUGGAGCGGUGAAAUGCGUAGAUAUCAGGAGGAACACCGGUGGCGAAGGCGGGUCUCUGGGCAACAACUGACGCUGAGGAGCGAAAGCGUGGGGAGCGAACAGG
rnacentral:rRNA from 1 species